rnacentral:tRNA from 1 species
GCCGCUAUGGUGGAAUUGGCAGACACAUGGGACUUAAAAUCCCCCGGCCUAACAGCCGUGCCGGUUCAAAUCCGGCUAGCGGCACCA